rnacentral:rRNA from 1 species
GUGGGGAAUAUUGGACAAUGGGCGAAAGCCUGAUCCAGCCAUGCCGCGUGUGUGAAGAAGGUCUUCGGAUUGUAAAGCACUUUAAGUUGGGAGGAAGGGCAGUAAGUUAAUACCUUGCUGUUUUGACGUUACCGACAGAAUAAGCACCGGCUAACUUCGUGCCAGCAGCCGCGGUAAUACGAAGGGUGCAAGCGUUAAUCGGAAUUACUGGGCGUAAAGCGCGCGUAGGUGGUUUUGUAAGUUGUAGGUGAAAUCCCCGGGCUCAACCUGGGAACUGCCUCCAAAACUGCAUGACUAGAGUACAGUAGAGGGUAGUGGAAUUUCCUGUGUAGCGGGGAAAUGCGUAGAUAUAGGAAGGAACACCAGUGGCGAAGGCGACUACCUGGACUGAUACUGACACUGAGGUGCGAAAGCGUGGGGAGCAAACAGGAUUAGAAACCCGAGUAGUCC